rnacentral:misc_RNA from 1 species
AUGUAACAGAGUGUGUUGGAGGGUCAAAGGCUGUGACUUUUGAUGACUUAAAUUCCCGUUACCACACACACUGUGACCCUAGGUUGAAUGCAUCACAGUCGCUAGAGCUGGCUUUUGCUAUAGCAGAGAGGUUGAGAAGGAAAAGGUUAAGGUCUGGUGAUGGCAUCCUUAGAGGCUACAAUGUUGGUGGAUCUGUGGCAUAAGAUGCUUGACUUUGGACUUUGUUACUAAGUUGUGGAAU